rnacentral:rRNA from 1 species
AACGAACGUUGGCGGCGUGCCUAAUACAUGCAAGUCGAGCGAGAAACGGGUAGCAAUACCCGGAGUACAGCGGCGAAAGGGUGCGUAUGACAUGAAGAACGUACCCCACCGUUCGGGAUAACCCCGCGAAAGCGGAGCUAAUACCGGAUACGGCCGCGGCGAUGCCUGUCGCUGCGGUGAAAGUCGCAAGACGCGGUCGGAGCGCUUCAUGGCCUAUCAGCUAGUUGGCGGGGAACGGCCCACCAAGGCAUUGACGGGUAGCCGGACUGAGAGGUCGACCGGCCACACGGGGACUGAGACACGGCCCCGACGUCUACGGAUGGCAGCAGUAGGGAAUAUUGCGCAAUGGGCGAAAGCCUGACGCAGCGACGCCGCGUGGGGAUGAAGGCCUU